UACAGGGGGGGCAAGCGUUGUUCGGAAUUACUGGGCGUAAAGGGUUUGUAGGUGGCUUGCUAAGUCAGACGUGAAAUCCCUCAGCUUAACUGGGAACUGCGUCUGAUACUGGCGAGCUUGAGUGCAGGAGAGGAACGCGGAAUUCCAGGUGUAGCGUGAAAUGCGUAGAUAUCUGGAGGAACACCGGUGGCGAAGGCGGCAUCCUGGACCGGCAUUGACGCUGAGGAGCGAAAAAAGCCAGGGGGGAGCAAACGGG
rnacentral:rRNA from 1 species